UACGAAGGGGGCUAGCGUUGCUCGGAAUCACUGGGCGUAAAGCGCACGUAGGCGGAUCGUUAAGUCAGGGGGUGAAAUCCCGGGGCUCAACCCCGGAACUGCCUUUGAUACUGGUAGUCUUGAGUUCGAGAGAGGUGAGUGGAAUUCCGAGUGUAGAGGUGAAAUUCGUAGAUAUUCGGAGGAACACCAGUGGCGAAGGCGGCUCACUGGCUCGAUACUGACGCUGAGGUGCGAAAGCGUGGGGAGCAAACAGG
rnacentral:rRNA from 1 species